rnacentral:rRNA from 1 species
UACGUAGGUGGCGAGCGUUAUCCGGAAUUAUUGGGCGUAAAGGGUGCGUAGGCGGUUUAUUAAGUCUGUGGUGAAAGUGCGGGGGCUCAACCCCCGUAUGGCCACAGAAACUGAUCGACUAGAGUACAGGAGAGGGCAGUGGAAUUCCAUGUGUAGCGGUAAAAUGCGUAGAUAUAUGGAGGAACACCGGUGGCGAAGGCGGCUGCCUGGCCUGUAACUGACGCUGAGGCACGAAAGCGUGGGGAGCAAAUAGG